rnacentral:tRNA from 2 species
GAGGGUAUGGAUGAAUGGCAAAGUCGUCAGGUUGCAACCCUGAAGAUCCCGGUUCGAUUCCGGGUUCCCUCUC